GCGUCAAUAGUGUAACGGAUAGAGCACGCAUUCCUGGAAAAAGUGAGGCACGGGUUCGAGUCCCGCCUGACGCG